CAGGAAGCUCCACACCUUCACCAGUUUUCCCUGAAAUCACCAACCAGCCUACAGCUGCAGCUCCAACCACUUCAAAACCAAACAGGACUUUCCAACCCUUCUCAACUUCUGUCCCAUCAGCCUCCACACCAACAACAACCUCCACACCAACAACAACACUGAGUUUAAGCUCCAGUUCAGGAAGCUCAACACCUUCACCAGUUUUCCCUGAAACCUCCAACCAGCCUACAGCUGCAGCCUCAACCAAUUCAAAACCAAUCAGGACUCUCCAACCUUUUUCAACCUCAGUCCUAUCAGCCUCCACACCAACAACAAUACAGA